AGACAAGCAUACCUCAGAAAAGGCCAGCAAGGGCUCGGCAGGUGUGGAAGAAUUGGCCAGGCUUGAGUGCAGCCUUGGUGAAAUGAUCAUUGGUGCAGAGGAACAUCUGGAUGAACAAGCCAUCAAUGACUUGAGGAAUAGCACGAUUGACUGGGCAGUUAACCCUCCACCUGUAAAGGCAUCAGAUACUGAUGAUGAGGAGCUUGACAGCUCUGAUGAAGAGUACAUCCCUCCACUUUC